UAAGGAAUAUUGGUCAAUGGGCGCAAGCCUGAACCAGCCAUGCCGCGUGCAGGAAGACGGCCCUAUGGGUUGUAAACUGCUUUUGUCAGGGAAUAAACCUGUUUACGAGUAGACAGCUGAAGGUACCUGAAGAAUAAGCAUCGGCUAACUCCGUGCCAGCAGCCGCGGUAAUACGGAGGAUGCAAGCGUUAUCCGGAUUCAUUGGGUUUAAAGGGUGCGCAGGCGGAUUGGUAAGUCAGGGGUGAAAUCCCACAGCUCAACUGUGGAACUGCCCUUGAUACUGUCAGUCUAGAGUAUAGUUGAAGUUGGCGGAAUGUGUCAUGUAGCGGUGAAAUGCUUAGAUAUGACACAGAACACCGAUCGCGAAGGCAGCUCACUAAAUUGUAACUGACGCUCAUGCACGAAAGCGUGGGGAUCAAACA
rnacentral:rRNA from 1 species